rnacentral:tRNA from 1 species
AUUAUUUUGACAGAGAAGUGUAUUAAAUUUAGAAUUUAACAUAUAUAUAAUA